AGGACAUAGAAAAUAGUGCUGGGUAUAGAUUGAAUUCUACUGAUCAUUAGUCAAGAAACAGGUGACAGAGCGUGAACCAUGUUGCCAGGCAGUAUAAAGGAUACCAUGGUAGAAAAAGGUAUAGUAGCUGCUCUGAAGCUGAUAAAAAAGCUUUAUUGGUAAAGCUAAUGGCGUGUUAGAAAAAAAUGGUGAAGCUAAUGGUGUGUUAGAAAAAAAUGUGUGUGCAUAUAUGUAUAUAUUAAGUGUGUGUGUGUGUGUGUGUGUGUGUAUUUGUAACAGCAUACAAGUGGUAUGACACAGCUUUUAAAAAGACAGUAAGGUUUUCCAGAACAAAGGAAAGCCAAUUAGAAGAGAGAAAACUUUGGAACUGUUUUCAAGAGUAUAUAGAAUUCAAAAAGGCAAAACAGGGCCAUUUCCAAAAGUAAAGAGGUAAUAUUUAAAACACAAAGCAUCUUUUACACAGGAGGACUCUGUUAGGUCCCUUGAAGUAUUUGCCCAUAAGAAAUGUAAAAUUCUCAGGGGUGGGGGAUAUGAAUUUAAAUCCAGUUACUUCUCUGCCUGUUUCAUCCCCUAUAAAAUUAGCUAAGUUAUACUUCUGUCAUAGAAUUGCUGUGAAAAUGCAGUAAAGGACUCUUACAAAUACAACUAACAGAAAUGUAAGGGAAAAUGAUCUCAUUUAUUUUAAAAAUAUAAGUGUUGGGGGAUUAUAGAAUAAGGAGUAAGGAACAAUUUAACUGAGGAUGGGAGAAAAUUUAAAGAGCAGCUAAUCUUGUGACUGAAACUUGAAGGAAGAGUUUAGAUUUAUAUUUUUGAGGUAAGUGCCGUAGUUUGGCUGGGCACAAUCAGGAGCCACUUGUCAAAAGAAACUAACUUUAUUUUUA
rnacentral:lncRNA from 1 species